GGCCUACCAUGGUGGUAACGGGUAACGGGGUGUUAGGGCACGACACCGGAGAGGGAGCCUGAGAAACGGCUACCACAUCCAAGGAUGGCAGCAGGCGCGCAAAUUACCCAAUCCCGACACGGGGAGGUAGUGACAAUAAAUAACAAUACGGGGUUCUUUUGGAUCUCGUAAUUGGAAUGAGUACAAUUUAAAUCUCUUAACGAGGAACAAUUGGAGGGCAAGUCUGGUGCCAGCAGCCGCGGUAAUUCCAGCUCCAAUAGCGUAUAUUAAAGUUGUUGCAGUUAAAAAGCUCGUAGUUGAAUUUCGGGAUCAAUAUAUUGGUCAUGCUUAGGUAUGUACUGGUAUUAUUGAUUUCUCCCUUCUGAAGAACCAUGAUGUCAUUAAUUUGAUGUCGUGGGGAAUCAGGACUGUUACUUUGAAAAAACUAGAGUGUUUAAAGCAGGCUUUCGCUUGAAUACAUUAGCAUGGAAUAAUGAAAUAGGACGUUUGAUUCUAUUUUGUUGGUUUCUAGGAUCGACGUAAUGAUUAAUAGGGAUAGUUGGGGGCAUUAGUAUUCAAUUGUCAGAGGUGAAAUUCUUGGAUUUAUUGAAGACUAACUACUGCGAAAGCAUUUGCCAAGGAUGUUUUCAUUAAUCAAGAACGAAAGUUAGGGGAUCGAAGACGAUCAGAUACCGUCGUAGUCUUAACCAUAAACUAUGCCGACUAGGGAUCGGAUGAUGUUAAUUUUUUAAUGACUCAUUCGGCGCCUUACG
rnacentral:rRNA from 1 species